rnacentral:rRNA from 1 species
GACGAACGCUGGCGGCGUGCUUAACACAUGCAAGUCGAGCGGUGAACCGGAGCUUGCUCCGGGGAUCAGCGGCGAACGGGUGAGUAACACGUGGGCAACCUGCCCUCAGCUCUGGGAUAACUCCGGGAAACCGGGGCUAAUACCGGAUACGACUUCCUGCGGCAUCACGGGAAGUGGAAAGUUUUUCGGCUGAGGAUGGGGCCCGCGGCCUAUCAGCUUGUUGGUGGGGUAACGGCCCACCAAGGCGACGACGGGUAGCCGGCCUGAGAGGGCGACCGGCCACACUGGGACUGAGACACGGCCCAGACUCCUACGGGAGGCAGCAGUGGGGAAUAUUGCGCAAUGGGCGAAAGCCUGACGCAGCGACGCCGCGU